AGCACUCAGGAAACACAAAGAAUUUUAACAUCUACGAAAACAAAAAGUCGGAUAUAUGUUACAACCGGAAAUGAGACCUUUCCAUUGACGGAAAGAGAAGCAAUCGCUACUUUGGUUCCUAGUAUUGGUAAAACACAAUCAGAAGACGGAAUAACACACGGAAGAGCACAGACACCAGAUUCAACUGAGAAAGCAUCUUCAAAUGAUUUAAUUGUGGUGUAAGAAUACAAAUUUUGUAAAUGAAUGAUUUUUAAACAGAUAAAAACCACUUAGUAACUUGAUUUGAUUGUGAAAAUUCAUCAAAGAUACCAAACUAGUCAGAAGCCAGACGCAAUCCGUCUACCUUAAAAUCAUCAGUAUAUAUAAUAAAACAUUAUUCCGUCUUUCCCAAUAUCGGUUCGUCAAAAAGAGCAUUUCAUAUAAAAUAGAAUUUAUAGUAAUCACCUAUUACGUAUUUAAUGUUUUUUUAGAACAUUAAUUUAGAACAUUACUUAAUGUAUACAAAAACAAUUUCCAAGGUAUUACACUCUUGUUACCAUAUCGUUUAA